GACGAACGCUGGCGGCGUGCCUAAUACAUGCAAGUAGAACGCUGAAGAGAGGAGCUUGCUCUUCUUGGAUGAGUUGCGAACGGGUGAGUAACGCGUAGGUAACCUGCCUUGUAGCGGGGGAUAACUAUUGGAAACGAUAGCUAAUACCGCAUAACAAUGGAUGACCCAUGUCAUUUAUUUGAAAGGGGCAAAUGCUCCACUACAAGAUGGACCUGCGUUGUAUUAGCUAGUAGGUGAGGUAACGGCUCACCUAGGCGACGAUACAUAGCCGACCCGAGAGGGUGAUCGGCCACACUGGGACUGAGACACGGCCCAGACUCCUACGGGAGGCAGCAGUAGGGAAUCUUCGGCAAUGGGGGCAACCCUGACCGAGCAACGCCGCGUGAGUGAAGAAGGGUUUCGGAUCGUAAAGCUCUGUUGUAAGUCAAGAACGAGUGUGAGAGUGGAAAGUUCACACUGUGACGGUAGCUUACCAGAAAGAGACGGCUAACUACGUG
rnacentral:rRNA from 1 species